AUUGAACGCUGGCGGCAGGCCUAACACAUGCAAGUCGAGCGGAUGAAGGGAGCUUGCUCCUGGAUUCAGCGGCGGACGGGUGAGUAAUGCCUAGGAAUCUGCCUGGCAGUGGGGGAUAACGUCCGGAAACGGGCGCUAAUACCGCAUACGUCCUGAGGGAGAAAGUGGGGGAUCUUCGGACCUCACGCUAUCAGAUGAGCCUAGGUCGGAUUAGCUAGUUGGUGGGGUAAAGGCCUACCAAGGCGACGAUCCGUAACUGGUCUGAGAGGAUGAUCAGUCACACUGGAACUGAGACACGGUCCAGACUCCUACGGGAGGCAGCAGUGGGGAAUAUUGGACAAUAGGCGAAAGCCUGAUCCAGCCAUGCCGCGUGUGUGAAGAAGGUCUUCGGAUUGUAAAGCACUUUAAGUUGGGAGGAAGGGCAGUAAGUUAAUACCUUGCUGUUUUGACGUUACCAACAGAAUAAGCACCGGCUAACUUCGUG
rnacentral:rRNA from 1 species